rnacentral:rRNA from 1 species
AGCGAACGUUAGCGGCAGGCCUAGCACAUGCAAGUCGCGCGAGAAUGGGGCUUCGGCUCCUAGUAAAGCGGCGGACGGGUGAGUAACACGUGGAUAAUCUGCCCUUCGGCGGGGGACAACAGUCCGAAAGGAUUGCUAAUACCGCGUAAGUCGGCGAGGUCUUCGGAUCUUGUCGGGAAAGAUGGCCUCUUCAUGAAAGCUAUCACCGAAGGAUGAGUCCGCGUCCCANCAGCUAGUUGGCGGUGUAAGAGACCACCAAGGCUAAGACGGGUAGCUGGUCUGAGAGGAUGAUCAGCCACACUGGAACUGAGACACGGUCCAGACUCCUACGGGA